rnacentral:rRNA from 1 species
GGCGUAAACAAAGGGAAGCGAAGGGGCGACCUGGAGCAAAUCUCAAAAAUAACGUCUCAGUUCGGACUGUAGUCUGCAACCCGACUACACGAAGCUGGAAUCGCUAGUAAUCGCGAAUCAGAAUGUCGCGGUGAAUACGUUCCCGGGUCUUGUACACACCGCCCGUCACACCAUGGGAGUUGGUAAUGCCCGAAGUCAGUGACCCAACCGCAAGGAGGGAGCUGCCGAAGGCAGGACUGAUAACUGGGGUGAAGUCGUAACAAGGUAAC